AUUACGAGAUUUUAUUUUCAUAACUUGAUAGAUAUAUGCAUCAACGAGAUUUGCUAUUAUUUUGUUGCAUAGUCUAUUAAGUUGGUCGAAAUGAUUUUAAUCGUCA
rnacentral:pre_miRNA from 1 species